rnacentral:rRNA from 1 species
UCCGGAUUUACUGGGCGUAAAGAGCGUUGAGCCGGUUCUGUAAGUUGGGCGUGAAAGCCCUCGGCUUAACUGAGGGACGCCGUCCAAUACUGCAGGACUUGAGGGCAGCAGAGGGAGGUGGAAUUCCCGGUGUACCGGUGAAAUGCGUAGAGAUCGGGAGGAACACCAGUGGCGAAGNCGGCCUCCUGGGCUGCUUCUGACGCUGAAUGCGAAAGCUAGGGUAGCGAACGGGAUUAGAAACCCCGGUAGUCCUAGCUGUAAACGAUGGAUGCUAGGUGUAGGAGGUAUAGAUCCCUUCUGUGCCGAAGCUAACGCGAUAAGCAUCCCGCCUGGGGACUACGGCCGCAAGGCUAAAACUCAAACGAAUUGACGGGGGCCCGCACAAGCAGCGGAGCGUGUGGUUUAAUUCGAUGCUACACGAAGAACCUUACCUGGGUUUGACAUGUAGGUAGUAGUGGAGCGAAAGCGGAACGACCCUUCGGGGAGCCUACACAGGUGCUGCAUGGCUGUCGUCAGCUCGUGCCGUGAGGUGUCGGGUUAAGUCCCGUAACGAGCGCAACCCCUGUCCUUAGUUACAAGUGUCUAAGGAGACUGCCGGCGACAAGCCGGAGGAAGGUGGGGAUGACGUCAAGUCAGCAUGGCCUUUAUGUCCAGGGCUACACACACGCUACAAUGGCCGGUACAAUGGGUUGCCAAGCCGUGAGGCGGAGCUAAUCCCCCAAAGCCGGUCUCAGUUCGGAUUGUGGGCUGCAACUCGCCCACAUGAAGUUGGAGUUGCUAGUAACCGCAGGUCAGCUAUACUGCGGUGAAUACGUUCCCGGGCCUUGUACACACCGCCCGUCACGUCAUGGAAGUCAGUAACACCUGAAGCCGGUGGGCUAACCUGCAAGGGGGCAGCCGUCGAAGGUGGGACUGGUAACUGGGACGAAGUCG